rnacentral:rRNA from 1 species
AGCAGCCGCGGUAAUUCCAGCUCCAAUAGCGUAUAUUAAAGUUGUUGCAGUUAAAAAGCUCGUAGUUGAAUUUCGGGAUCAAUAUGUCGGUCGUGCCUUCGGUACGUACUGGUGUUAUUGAUCUCUCCCUUCUGAUGAAUCAUGAUGUCAUUAAUUUGGUGUCGUGGGGAGUCAGGACUGUUACUUUGAAAAAAUUAGAGUGUUUAAAGCAGGCUCACGCUUGAAUACAUUAGCAUGGAAUAAUGAAAUAGGACGUUCGAUCCUAUUUUGUUGGUUUCUAGGAUCAACGUAAUGAUUAAUAGGGAUAGUUGGGGGCAUUAGUAUUCAAUUGUCAGAGGUGAAAUUCUUGGAUUUAUUGAAGACUAACUACUGCGAAAGCAUUUGCCAAGGAUGUUUUCAUUAAUCAAGAACGAAAGUUAGGGGAUCGAAGACGAUCAGAUACCGUCGUAG